rnacentral:rRNA from 1 species
CGUCAUACCGAUCUCAGGCUUGAAUCGCAGAGAUCACAAAACGCCCCGGCGCUGUAGGAUGUGGCUGCGGUUGAUUAGGUAGACGGUGGGGUAACAGCCCACCGUGCCCAUAAUCAGUACAGGUUGUGAGAGCAAGAACCUGGAGACGGAAUCUGAGACAAGAUUCCGGGCCCUACGGGGCGCAGCAGGCGCGAAACCUUUACACUGCACGCACGUGCGAUAAGGGGACUCCGAGUGCGAGGGCAUAUCGUCCUCGCUUUCGUGUACCGUAGGGUGGUACACCAACAAGGGCUGGGCAAGACCGGUGCCAGCCGCCGCGGUAAUACCGGCAGCCCGAGUGAUGACCGAUCUUAUUGGGCCUAAAGCGUCCGUAGCUGGCUGCGCAAGUCCGUCGGGAAAUCCACUCGCCCAACGAGUGGGCGUCCGACGGAAACUGCAUAGCUUGGGACCGGAAGGCUCGAAGGGUACGUGCGGGGUAGGAGUGAAAUCCCAUAAUCCCGCACGGACCACCGAUGGCGAAAGCACUUCGAGAAAACGGAUCCGACAGUGAGGGACGAAAGCCAGGGUCUCCAACCGGAUUAGAUACCCGGGUAGUCCUGGCCGUAAACAAUGUUCGCUAGGUAUGACACAGACUACGUGUCUCUGUUGUGCCGUAGGGAAGCCGAGAAGCGAACCGCCUGGGAAGUACGUCUGCAAGGAUGAAACUUAAAGGAAUUGGCGGGGGAGCACUACAACCGGAGGAGCCUGCGGUUUAAUUGGAUUC